CUAACACAUGCAAGUCGAGCGAUGAAACCCCUUCGGGGGUGGAUUAGCGGCGGACGGGUGAGUAACACGUGGGUAACCUGCCUCAAAGUGGGGGAUAGCCUUCCGAAAGGAAGAUUAAUACCGCAUAAAGCCAAGUUUCACAUGGAAUUUGGAUGAAAGGAGUAAUUCGCUUUGAGAUGGACCCGCGGCGCAUUAGUUAGUUGGUGGGGUAAUGGCCUACCAAGACAGCGAUGCGUAGCCGACCUGAGAGGGUGAUCGGCCACAUUGGAACUGAGAUACGGUCCAGACUCCUACGGGAGGCAGCAGUGGGGAAUAUUGCACAAUGGGCGAAAGCCUGAUGCAGCAACGCCGCGUGAGUGAUGAAGGUCUUCGGAUUGUAAAGCUCUGUCUUUUGGGACGAUAAUGACGGUACCAAAGGAGGAAGCCACGGCUAACUACGUGCCAGCAGCCGCGGUAAUACGUAGGUGGCGAGCGUUGUCCGGAUUUACUGGGCGUAAAGGGUGCGUAGGCGGAUGUUUAAGUGAGAUGUGAAAUACCCGGGCUUAACUUGGGUGCUGCAUUUCAAACUGGAUAUCUAGAGUGCAGGAGAGGAGAAUGGAAUUCCUAGUGUAGCGGUGAAAUGCGUAGAGAUUAGGAAGAACACCAGUGGCGAAGGCGAUUCUCUGGACUGUAACUGACGCUGAG
rnacentral:rRNA from 1 species